rnacentral:misc_RNA from 1 species
CAAAAUUAAAUUGUAAGGUCUUCUUUUUCUUUAAUUUGAAUUUUAAUUUGGUUUAAUUUGAUUUUAAUUAAAUUUAAUAGUUAAAUUUUAAACUUUUAUUUUUAAAAAAAGUUAAGAAAAAGGGUUUAUAAAUUGAUUUCAAUCCGAUCUAAUUCAACACCGAUUUUACAUAACCCAUUUUUCAUCUAAUUUUGAUCCUGAAUGG